UACGGGGGGGGGCAAGCGUUGUUCGGAAUUACUGGGCGUAAAGGGCUCGUAGGCGGCCAACUAAGUCAGACGUGAAAUCCCUCGGCUUAACCGGGGAACUGCAUCUGAUACUGGAUGGCUCGAGUUUGGGAGAGGGAUGCGGAAUUCCAGGUGUAGCGGUGAAAUGCGUAGAUAUCUGGAGGAACACCGGUGGCGAAGGCGGCAUCCUGGACCAACACUGACGCUGAGGAGCGAAAGCGUGGGUAGCAAACGGG
rnacentral:rRNA from 1 species